CUCACCUCAUUCGGUGUCCGUGUGUCUCUUUGUUUGUUUUCUUCCUUUGUGUCUCUCUUUGGGUUUUCCUUUAUAGCUAUAUGUUUUGAAAUUUUUUUUUUCUUUCCCUCUCUCUCACUACAAUUUCCUUUCCCCUCUAGUCCCCUCAUCAGGGAACUCCCUUAGCUCAACUUUAAAUCCAGGUCCCGAAACUAGGAUUGACUCCUUUAGAUGGGAAGAG